GUAUGGAACUGCAGAGCCCAGGAAGCUGGCUGUUGGCUUGUUGUUCUCCCUCCAAGAACGAAAAUAUUGGGUGAAUAAACUGACCAGAUAACCACAUGGAAAUGUGAGGAAGAAGCAUGUUUUAAGAAAAUUAGCAGCAGCAACAACAACAAAAAGUGCUGCAUUACACAUUUUGCAAGAAAUGAUGGUUGUUGUUGCACAACCUUUUGCUACUGGCUUUUGUUGCUAAGGAGUGAAGGCAUCAUUCCUUCCUUUCCCAUCAUCCCACCCCAUUUCUGUACAACUUUGUCAAUUGGGUUUUUAAAAAUAAAAGUUGAUGCUUUGUUCUCACUGCAGUAAAAGUUCAUGCAAACCAAUAAUGGUGUUUGCAUCUGCUUCCAAAUAUAGAUGUAAUGUUUUCAAUAAAUCAUUUUCCUGUC